rnacentral:lncRNA from 1 species
UUAGAGUAAUAAAAUCUUUAGUAAGAAACUAAAAAUAACAAGGUACUACUGGCAUUAGCAAAUUGAUGUCAAUUGACUAUGUUCAAACUUGUUCAAUCUCAAAAGUAAGUUGUAGCCAUACUUUAAUACAACAUACACAUAACCAUCAUGAAUAAAAAGCUUAAUAAAACUACAGUAUAUGGUAAGCAAGAUUUAGUGUAACUGAUGUACACCAACUUGCUCUCUAUAAGAAGAACAAAUACCUUGUAACAUAUAAUCUCCCGUCAGUUCCUAUAUAUACAUCAUGAAAGUCCUGACUUUUUCAUUGCGAUAAGCUUGAAUCUGAACAUGAACAAUGAAGAAGAGUAUUAGCAAUAGGGCAGAGAGCUUCGGUUAGUUGAAAAUGGAAUAUAAAGGUGGUUAAAUGUAGUGUUAACAAUUUGUAAGGCUAAUCAAAAGAAAAUCAUUGAUUCACUUGUUUAAUGAAAUCAACAUUACCUAAGGCGAAGGAAAACUAGCUCGUAAGUAUUUUUUGUAUCCAUUAUUUUCUCUUGAUAAACUACCUAUAACCCUUUUAUAAGCUCCUAAAAUUGUGACAACUGCUGUCAGAUAAUUCCAAUUAUAUGUUAAACACUAGUUACUAAUACUCAUAAUAAUACGUAAUAAAGUUGUG